UAGCGAAGAGGCUAAACGCGGCGGACUGUAAAUCCGCUCCUUCGGGUUCGGGGGUUCGAAUCCCUC
rnacentral:tRNA from 1 species